rnacentral:rRNA from 1 species
AGCGUGCACGGUGGAUGCCUAGGCAGUCAGAGGCGAUGAAGGACGUGGUAACCUGCGAAAAGCUUUGGGAAGGUGGUAAACAACCUAUGAUCCAGAGAUAUCCGAAUGGGGAAACCCACCCAGCGUAAGCUGGGUAUCUUAUACUGAAUACAUAGGUAUAAGAGGCGAACCGGGAGAACUGAAACAUCUAAGUACCCCGAGGAAAAGAAAUCAAUUGAGAUUCCCCUAGUAGCGGCGAGCGAACGGGGAUUAGCCCUUAAGUUUAUUAUGUUUUAGCGGAAGUAGCUGGAAAGUUACGCCAUAGUGGGUGAUAGCCCCGUACGCGAAAAGGCAUUUUAGAUGAAAACGAGUAGGUCGGGACACGAGAAAUCUUGACUGAACAUGGGGGGACCAUCCUCCAAGGCUAAAUACUCCUGACUGACCGAUAGUGAACCAGUACCGUGAGGGAAAGGCGAAAAGAACCCCUGUGAGGGGAGUGAAAUAGAUCCUGAAACCGUGUACGUACAAGCAGUGGGAGCGGUGUCAACUCAAGUACCUUGUACAAGAGUUGGUAACUUCUCUUAGGUUAGAGGUAACGUUUGCAAAGCAAACGGUCAACCGCCUAAUCAAUAGAGGGUGUUUGAGUGACACCGUGACUGCGUACCUUUUGUAUAAUGGGUCAGCGACUUAAUUUUAGUAGCAAGCUUAACCGAAUAGGGGAGGCGUAGGGAAACCGAGUCUUAAUAGGGCGUAUAGUUGCUAGGAUUAGACCCGAAACCGGGCGAUCUACCCAUGGCCAGGUUGAAGGUUGAGUAACAUCAACUGGAGGACCGAACCCACGUAUGUUGAAAAAUGCGGGGAUGAGCUGUGGGUCGGAGUGAAAGGCUAAUCAAGCCCGGAGAUAGCUGGUUCUCCUCGAAAGCUAUUUAGGUAGCGCCUCGUGUCUCACCAUUGGGGGUAGAGCACUGUUUCGGCUAGGGGGUCAUCCCGACUUACCAACCCGAUGCAAACUCCGAAUACCAAUGAGUGCAAUCACGGGAGACACACGGCGGGUGCUAACGUCCGUCGUGGAAAGGGAAACAACCCAGACCGUCAGCUAAGGUCCCAAAGUUAUAGUUAAGUGGGAAACGAUGUGGGAAGGUUUAGACAGCUAGGAGGUUGGCUUAGAAGCAGCCAUCCUUUAAAGAAAGCGUAAUAGCUCACUAGUCGAAUCGGCCUGCGCGGAAGAUAUAACGGGGCUCAAACUAUACACCGAGGCUACGGACGCGUGCUUGCAUGCGUGGUAGAGGAGCGUUCUGUAGGCCGUUGAAGGGAAAGCUGAGAGGCAUCCUGGAGGUAUCAGAAGUGCGAAUGCUGACAUGAGUAACGAUAAGGGGAGUGAAAAGCUCCCCCGCCGGAAGACCAAGGUUUCCUAUCCAAUGCUAAUCAGGGUAGGGUGAGUCGGCCCCUAAGGCGAGGCUGAAGAGCGUAGUCGAUGGGAAGCAGGUUAAUAUUCCUGCACCACUCAAUAUUGCGAAGGAGGGACGGAGAAGGCUAGUCCAGCGCGGCGUUGGUUGUCCGCGUUUAAGCGUGUAGGCUUAAAUCUUAGGUAAAUCCGGGAUUUUUUAAGGCUGAGGCGUGAUGACGAGGUCCAUUAGGACUGAAGUGGUUGAUGCCAUGCUUCCAGGAAAAGCUUCUAAGCAUCAGAUAUUGAGUGACCGUACCCCAAACCGACACAGGUGGUCAGGUAGAGAAUACCAAGGCGCUUGAGAGAACUCGGGUGAAGGAACUAGGCAAAAUGGUACCGUAACUUCGGGAGAAGGUACGCCGCUGAUGGUGAUGGGACUUGCUCCCUAAGCUGUUGGCGGCCGAAGAUACCAGGUGGCUGCGACUGUUUAUUAAAAACACAGCACUGUGCAAACACGAAAGUGGACGUAUACGGUGUGACGCCUGCCCGGUGCCGGAAGGUUAAUUGAUGGGGUUAGCUUCGGCGAAGCUCUUGAUCGAAGCCCCGGUAAACGGCGGCCGUAACUAUAACGGUCCUAAGGUAGCGAAAUUCCUUGUCGGGUAAGUUCCGACCUGCACGAAUGGCGUAACGACGGGGGCGCUGUCUCCACCAUAGACUCAGUGAAAUCGAAAUCGCGGUGAAGAUGCCGUGUUCCCGCGGCUAGACGGAAAGACCCCGUGAACCUUUACUAUCUGUCCUUUAUACUCCUCUGACUCUGCCGACGAAUAGGGAGGUUGAGACUCCGGGCUUCUGCGCCGCAUCGAU